UUCUUCGGAAAUAAAGGGCUGCCAGUAUAAAGUGAGCCCUUGACGGUACCGAACCAAAAAGCACCGGCUAACUACGUGCCAGCAGCCGCGGUAAUACGUAGGGGGCAAGCGUUAAUCCGGAUUACUUGGGCGUAAAGCGUGCGCAGGCGGUUCUUUAAGUCUGAUGUGAAUCCCCCCGGCUCAACUGGGGACGGUCAUUGGAAACUGGAGGACUUGAUUGCGUAAAAGGAGAGUGGAAUUCCAUGUGUAGCGGUGAAAUGCGUAGAUAUAUGGAGGAACACCAGUGGCGAAGGCGGCUCUCUGGUCUGUAACUGACGCUGAGGCUCAAAACCGUGGGGAGCAAACAGGAUUAAAUACCCUGGUAUUCCACCCCGUAAACAAUGAGUGCUAAUUGUUGGAGGGUUUCCGCCCUUCAUUGCUGCACCAAACGCAUUAAUCACUCCCCCUGGGGAGUACGACCGCAAGGUUAAAACUCAAAG
rnacentral:rRNA from 1 species